rnacentral:rRNA from 1 species
UACGUAGGGAGCAAGCGUUGUUCGGAUUUACUGGGCGUAAAGGGCGCGUAGGCGGCAUAUUAAGUCAUCUGUGAAAUCUCCGAGCUUAACUCGGAACUGUCAGCUGAUACUGAUGUGCUAGAGUGCGGAAGGGGCAAUCGGAAUUCUUGGUGUAGCGGUGAAAUGCGUAGAUAUCAAGAGGAACACCUGAGGUGAAGACGGGUUGCUGGCCGACACUGACGCUGAGUGCGCGAAAGCCAGGGGAGCAAACGGG